rnacentral:rRNA from 1 species
UAGGGAAUCUUCCACAAUGGACGCAAGUCUGAUGGAGCAACGCCGCGUGAGUGAAGAAGGUUUUCGGACCGUAAAGCUCUGUUGUUGGUGAAGAAGGAUAGAGGUAGUAACUGGCCUUUAUUUGACGGUAAUCAACCAGAAAGUCACGGCUAACUACGUGCCAGCAGCCGCGGUAAUACGUAGGUGGCAAGCGUUGUCCGGAUUUAUUGGGCGUAAAGCGAGCGCAGGCGGAAGAAUAAGUCUGAUGUGAAAGCCCUCGGCUUAACCGAGGAAUUGCAUCGGAAACUGUUUUCUUGAGUGCAGAAGAGGAGAGUAGAACUCCAUGUGUAGCGGUGGAAUGCGUAGAUAUAUGGAAGAAUACCAGUGGCGAAGGCGGCUCUCUGGUCUGCAACUGACGCUGAGGCUCGAAAGCAUGGUAGCGAACAGGAUUAGAUACCCUGGUAGUCCAUGCCGUAAACGAUGAGUGCUAAGUGUUGGGAGGCUUCCGCCUCUCAGUGCUGCAGCUAACGCAUUAAGCACUCCGCCUGGGGAGUACGACCGCAAGGUUGAAAC